CACGUAGGGCGCAAGCGUUGUCCGGAAUUAUUGGGCGUAAAGAGCUCGUAGGCGGCUUGUCGCGUCGGCUGUGAAAACCUGGGGCUCAACCCCGGGCCUGCAGCCGAUACGGGCAGACUAGAGGUAGGUAGGGGAGAAUGGAAUUCCCGGUGUAGCGGUGAAAUGCGCAGAUAUCGGGAGGAACACCGGUGGCGAAGGCGGUUCUCUGGGCCUUACCUGACGCUGAGGAGCGAAAGCGUGGGGAGCGAACAAG
rnacentral:rRNA from 1 species